GAUGAACGCUGGCGGCGUGCCUAAUACAUGCAAGUCGAGCGAACAGACGAGGAGCUUGCUCCUCUGACGUUAGCGGCGGACGGGUGAGUAACACGUGGAUAACCUACCUAUAAGACUGGGAUAACUUCGGGAAACCGGAGCUAAUACCGGAUAAUAUAUUGAACCGCAUGGUUCAAUAGUGAAAGACGGUUUUGCUGUCACUUAUAGAUGGAUCCGCGCCGCAUUAGCUAGUUGGUAAGGUAACGGCUUACCAAGGCGACGAUGCGUAGCCGACCUGAGAGGGGGGGCGGCCAAAUGGGAAGUGAGACCCGGCGGAGACGAAUGCGGGAGGGAGCAGGAGGGAAGUGGGCGUAAAGGGCUAAAGACAGAAGGAUCAAAGUAGAGGGAAUGAAGAAGGGUGUAGGAUCGUAAAACUAUGUUAGUAGGAAAGAACAAAUGUGUAAGGAAUGAUGAACGGCUGGACGGGACGGAAUCAGAAAGAAAAGGCUGACUAGGUG
rnacentral:rRNA from 1 species